CCUACGGGAGGCAGCAGUGAGGAAUAUUGGUCAAUGGUCGGGAGACUGAACCAGCCAAGCCGCGUGAGGGAUGAAGGUACAGAGUAUCGUAAACCUCUUUUGUCAGGGAACAAAGGCGGGGACGUGUCCCCGGAUGAGUGUACCUGAAGAAAAAGCAUCGGCUAACUCCGUGCCAGCAGCCGCGGUAAUACGGAGGAUGCGAGCGUUAUCCGGAUUUAUUGGGUUUAAAGGGUGCGCAGGCGGUCUGUUAAGUCAGCGGUCAAAGCCCGGGGCUCAACCCCGGCCCGCCGUUGAAACUGGCAGUCGCGAGUUGGAGAGAAGUAUGCGGAAUGCGCGGUGUAGCGGUGAAAUGCAUAGAGAGCGCGCAGAACUCCGAUUGCGAAGGCAGCAUGCCGGCUCCACACUGACGCUGAGGCACGAAAGCGUGGGUAUCGAACAGGAUUAGGUACCCCUGUAGUC
rnacentral:rRNA from 1 species